rnacentral:rRNA from 1 species
AUUGAACGCUGGCGGCAUGCCUUACACAUGCAAGUCGAACGGUAACAGGUUAAGCUGACGAGUGGCGAACGGGUGAGUAAUGUAUCGGAACGUGCCCAGUCGUGGGGGAUAACUGCUCGAAAGAGCAGCUAAUACCGCAUACGACCUGAGGGUGAAAGCGGGGGAUCGCAAGACCUCGCGCGAUUGGAGCGGCCGAUAUCAGAUUAGGUAGUUGGUGGGGUAAAGGCCCACCAAGCCAACGAUCUGUAGCUGGUCUGAGAGGACGACCAGCCACACUGGGACUGAGACACGGCCCAGACUCCUACGGGAGGCAGCAGUGGGGAAUUUUGGACAAUGGGCGCAAGCCUGAUCCAGCCAUGCCGCGUGCGGAAAGAAGGCCUUCGGGUUGUAAACCGCUUUUGUCAGGGAAGAAACGGCUUUCUCUAAUACAGAGAGCUAGUGACGGUACCUGAAGAAUAAGCACCGGCUAACUACGUGCCAGCCGCCGCCGUAAGAC